UGUGUUUGUGUGUCAGCCCACAUGCCAUUAGUAUUUUCUUUAUUUUUCCAUUAAGUUGUAGUGUGCUUACUUCUUCAGCCGUCGAGAUUAAGAAAACAAAAACCUAACGAUCCUGAUUCCAUUUCCACGGCCAAGUAACGCACCAGAGAUGUCAUUAAUUGACGAAAACCCACUAACCCCACGAUCCAUCUUUAUUCACAGUGAGUAUAUAUGAACCUUCAGAUUGUCCUCUCCUGUUCCUCUACUUUUAGCCGUUCGAAAAUCUCUGAAACUCUCACAGAAGCUUUCCAAUAGUGUCAAAUUCACAGAUUCACUUCUCCGACUUGAAGGCCGGCCCGCGUUUAGACCAGACUCCGGAGGUCAGUUGAUGGCUGUCGAUAUGCUCCUUAUUGAUGCCAAGAAGUGAAAGUUGGUUCUUAAGUCCAUGAGCAAGUGAGUUAGUUUAGGAGGCAGCUCCGGUCCAUGUCUGCACUUCUGAAGUGAACAAAAUUCUGAGCUAAGUAUUAGGACAGUGGUGAAGACAUUGACAUUGUCGUCUCCAGCUCCCAAACAAACGAAGGGUGGGAAUUACAAUCAGGAGAUGAUAUGUCAGGUGCUGGAGCAGUUAGAAGGAGCCACAUUACGAGAAACAAUCACAUAACACUCCUAUACAAACUUUCAAUUACUUAGUAGCUAUGCAGUCAAAUUUUAUUUUUGUAAUCCUCCGUUAUACUAUUCCGACCAUUCUAAUAUAAUGUUUCAUAAUUACAAAACAA